rnacentral:lncRNA from 1 species
UUGAGCCAAGGGUCGACCUACUUCGAAUGGUAUUUGAUAUGAAAUUUUCCCCAGGGUAUAACUGUUUUGUUUAUUUAUCAACCAAGGGGGGGGGGGUUUUAGAACUCCUGAUACCCCGAGCUCACUUAGAGGUUGGAAGGAACGUUUCUUUUUUGUGAAACCUCAAGACCUCGAUCAUCCCUUUAGCCUGAGGUGGGAAAUCCCCGAUAAAGAUAGGUUUAACGAAGGUCAGGCCUAUUUUGAGGUUUUAGAGAGAGAUAGGCUGAGGUUAGUGAACCACGACCCCCUUGCAGACAAGAUCGAUUUCUUGCUUGAAGACGACACCCUCGACCUUGCUAACGUGAAAGGCCUCG